AUUGCUUGAGUCCAGGAGGUUGAGGCUGCAGUGAGCCCUGAUCCUGCCACUGCACUCCAGCCUGGGUGACACAGCAAGACUCUGUCUCCAUAAACAAACAAAAAAAAAAUGAGGGAAACUGAGUAUUAGAGACAUCAAUAUUUUUCUAAGAAAACCUAAAAUUGUCUGCUAGUAUGGAAACUCAAGUUUGCUUCAUAGCAGGGUGUGCUGAGACUCUUAGUUUUGAGUUUCUCUUGUACUUGCAGAGCCGGCCUUUUCUUUUUAAACUGUCCAUCAUGACAUGUACACCCUGCCUCUUGGGGUAAUUAGGUGGACCCUUUUGGCCAGGGAAAUGCUUGUCCAAGAAAAAACAAACAUUGAUCUCUUAUCUGGGUGCCCUUCUCUGGAUAACAUGCCCAAAUGAUAUGUUACUGUGUCUCUAUUUCUUGUUCACCUCUUUAAUGCCAACAACAAAGAAUCAAUUGCCUUUUGCAAUUAGUCCCAGACAUUUGCUACCUUUAAUGAGUUAUACAGUCCACCCAGUAUCUCACUUUCCUCAACAUGUCCUGCUUUGUUAGCAAUUGAAAGUGACUCUAGCCCCUGCCCAGGCCAGGCAUUGCCCAUUCUGAAGGGCAAGAACAACUUAGAACUGAGACAUUCAGAGCAAUUCUCAGGUACCCAGUUUGGAGAGGAAGGCUGAGUGCUGAAUGCUUUCUGAGCAGCAGCUCACCAGUCCCCGAGUGUCUCUCCGGCUAUGUGCUGAAGGUCAGAUGCUGGGGCCACUGUGGUGACUAUGCCAAGCACAGCAGUGGCAGGAAUGGCAGUGUCCUCAGAGGCCAGUGCUGCCUGACUGCCUACACUGUGCCCUUGCUGGGAAAUGUAAUAGCUCACCCUUAGUGUUAGUAAUGGUGAUGCAAGAUUUUUUGCUCCUUAGUUCAGCUAAAUCUGGGUUCUUGUCUCACAGCCAGGAAAAAUUAGGUGCGAGGGCACAUUGAAGGGUGAGGAGGGCAGAAUUUACUAAGCAAAAAGAAAGCUCUCACCAAAAAAGGUGGGGGGCGGGGUACCACCAGUAGGCUCCCACUUCACAAAUUGAAUACCAGGUCACCACAAACAAGCUGAAGAGACCAGGCCCCUCCCCUGGAUAAGGCAUGAAUUCCUGGUGACUCUGCCCCAUUCCCUCAGUGCACAUAUGGGCCCUUAGUCUGAACCAUUCCAUAUUGACUUAUUUCCCAUAUUAUGCACGUGUUAAGGGAAAGAAUUUUUCACUGUGGGCGUGUUUAGGUAAGCCCCCUGAGCGCAAUGACCUGGACAGGUCAGAGGUUCUCUGGUACCCUUCCCUAUCUGCCUAGGCAUUUGGCUAUCUCCUACCUCUAUCAAUAGGAGGCAGGAAUUGAUGGGUUUACUUCUAGCAACCAAAAUGGCAAGGCUUCUCACGUGUUCUUGGAAAAUCAAGAACAGAAAUCUCUUAAAUAGCUGACAUACAGGCAUAGCAAGUUGAACAAGAUAUUGAUCAGAACCAGAGUAGCAACCGUAUCAUAAACUGCAGGUACUGCCUGUAUUUUGUGAUAAGCUGCUUAUCUGAGACCUCUUGAUGAACAGCAGGCAAAGUUUUAUCAACAUGCCAAACACCUGAAUGAUAGGCACAACUACAGCUUUCCUACUGUUUCAGUGUGUUAGAUAACUGAAAAGCCCCACAGCACAGUGGCUCAAAUAACAACUUAUUUUUUUUUCUUUUUCCUCACAGUGUUGUGGGUUGGCUGAGCUGAGCUGAGAGUUUCUUCUGGUAGUCUUGCUUGGGGCAUCUCAUGAGGCCACAGUCAGAUGGCAGCAUGGCUGUGACUGGACAGUCAAGAUGACCUCCCAUCCUCCACAGCUGGAGGCUUCAAACCAAAGGCCCCUGUGCCGGUCCAACCCAUGCUCAGUUUUUGUCAUUUUUACACUUUCAGUAAUUAAAUUGCUUUUCCAUUUUGUAAUAGUUGAAAAAUAAUUCAAAACAAAAAUAUUUUGUGAUACGUGAAAAUUAUAUGAAAUUCAAAUUUCAGUGUCCACAAAGUUUUACUGGAACAUAACCACAACCACGCUUAUUCACUUAUGUAUAAUUUACAGCUCCUUUUGCACUACAGUGGCAGUGCUGAGUGGUUGUGACAAUCACAGAGACCACAUGGCCCACAAAGCCAAAAAUACUUACUAUCUGGGCCUUUAGAAAUUCUACUGGCCCCUUCUCCAGAGCCUCUGUCCAUCAUAGUCAUCUCUUUUUUUUUUUUUGAGAUGGAGUUUUGCUCGUCGCCCAGGCUGGAAAAGAAUGUUGCGAUCUCGGCUCACUGCAAACUCUGCCUCCUGAAUUCAAGAAAUUCUCCAACUCAGCCUCUUGAGUAGCAAGGAUUAGAGCAUACCAGAAGAGUCGGAUGACACGUGGACUUGAAGGAUGAGUGCAAGGUUUUAUUGAGCGGUGGAGGCUCUCAGCAAGACGGAUGCAGAACCAGAAGUGGGGCACGGAAUGAGAAGGCGCUCUUCCUCUGGAGUCCUGCCGUUCUUGUUUGACAUUGAGAUGCCUCUUCCCUUCUCUGCCGUGCCGCCCUGCCACUCCCACUCUUUGUCACUCUCUUUCUCUGCUCCUCUCAAUGUUCAGCCACUUGUGUCUGUGCCUGCUAAGGUCUCAGGUUUAUAUGGCCAUGGGAUGGGGGCAUGGCAGGCCAGAGUGGUCUUGGGAAAUGCAACAUUUGGGUGCAAAAACAAGAAUCCCUGUUCUCACUUAGGUCUGUGGGCACAGGCCCAAGGGUGGAGCCCUCGCCUGGGACCCCACUCUUCUCUACCCAGCACUUCCCUGCCUCCCUCCAGUAUCAGUCAGUAGUAGAGUCUUGUGAUAGGCUGGAUAAUGGCCCCCCAAGAUAUCCAUGUGCUAAUUCCCAGGAUUUGUUGAUGUUGUCUUAUGUGGCGAAAGGAACUUUGCAGGGGUGCUUAAGUUGAGCAUUCUGAGAUGGAGAGAUCAACCUGAAUUACCUGGAUGGGCUCAGAAUGUAAUCACAGGUGUCCUUACAAGAGGAACGCUUGCUUACAGAAGAAGAAAUAGGAGAUGUGAUGAUGGAAGCAACAGGUUAGAGAGAUUCAAGAAAAGCAUAGCCAGCCAAGGGAAUGCAGGCAGCCUCCAGAAGCUAAAAAAAUAAAAAUAAAAAUAAAAAAAAGCAAGAGAACGAUUCCCCCUAGAGCUUCCAGAAGGAACUAGCCAUGCCACCACCUUGUCAUUAUCCCAGUGAGACAGAUUUCAAACUUCUGGACUCAAGAACUGUAAGGGUAAGAACUGUAAAAUAAAUUUAUGCUGUUUUAAGCCACAAAAUUUGUGGCACUUUUUUACAGCAGCAACAGGAAAUUAAUAAAAGUCUUCCAGUGCUAGGGGUUGAAUCUCAUCACAUUUCUAAGGCAAGCACUGCUUAGUAUCUUGCUUAUUUAAAAGAUAAACUUAGCUAGUAUAAACAAUAGUGACCAACUAGAUUGUAUGCUAUAAUACUUGUAACUAGAUGUAAGAAAAAUGAUUGCACACUCUUUGUUUUCUUGUUUGUUUUGAGACAGAGUCUCACUCUGUUGCCCAGGCUAGAGUGCAGUGGCACAAUCUUGGCUCACUGCAACCUCCACCUCUCCGGUUCAAGCUCUUCUUGUGCCUCAGCCUCCUGAGUAGCUGGGACUACAGGCACACACCACCACACCCAGCUAACUUUUGCGUUUUUAGUAGAGACAGGGUUUUGCCAUUUUGGCCAGACUAGUCUCCAGCUCCUGACCUCAGCUGAUCCACCCACCUCGGCCUCGCAAAGUGCUGGGAUUAUAGGCAUGAGCCACUGCACCCAGCCAAUUGCAUACCCUGGAUCAAAAAACCAUUUCCCUCAAGUUAGAAUAUGUGAUAUUUAUUGUACAUUGAGUGCCCUCUGCUGCUUACCCAAAGCUUUCUAAACCUUAACCAAACUCGUAAAGCUUAUAAGCAGUGGGACAAUUUGGAGCCUUAAACUCCCAAAUUCUGAAAUGUCUUCCGACACGAUUUUCCACAGCAAUCUGUAGCGUGUCUGGAGCAAGGAUGGGGGGAUCAUGAUUCAGGGGUCCCCAAGGAGGGUCUAUCAUAGACUGUUGCUUUUUAAAGUAACCAGUAGCAAUGCUUUAAACUGUCAUUGCAGAUUUAAGAACCUGUGGUCCAAAUGUCUCAGUUUAGUAUGUAAAACCCUUUACCUCCAAGCUCCUGCCGAUUUCUGCCUCUCUCCUUUACUUCAAGCCAUCAUGAUUUACAUGGUAUAAUGCUAAUGGAUCAUUGUUUCACAGAAGUUCUUUCCAUCCUUUUAGUUCUUUUCCACUCCUGCAGCAAGAUGAAGAGCUCUCUCUUGUCCUUCAGCACUGAGCUUUGUAUUUCCUUUUUAUGCCAAACCAGGAAAAACAAAUAGUAACUUUGCCAACUUUUGUUUGCAAACGCCUUUCAUAGUAAUCUAUAAUCUCACCAACUCCUUUAGAAAACAAUCAUCAAUGUAACAUUUUUUUCAUCAUGUAUGAAAGAAAUGAUUUUAAGUUUAAAAUAUUUUAUUGUAUAUCAACAUGUUUUAAACAUUGUACUAUAAUCAUUUCAGUAUACCUUUAAAUAUUUUAUUAAGACAAAUUUCACUUUCCACAGUCAUGUAGUGAUGGGCUCUAUUUAAUUUGUUUUAAAAUAACUGAGUCAAGAAAAGCAAGUGUGUGAACAAUGAAUUGUAAAAUGGUAUAAUAUUUAGCUUGAAGACUGAAUGUAUAAGAAAGUAUAUACUAUUAUGGCAUCAGAAAAGACAAAACACUUUUACAGUAUGAUGUUUGGAAUAUUUGAAAUUAAACAUCAGUGGAUCAUUUUGAUAAUAUUUAUGUAUUUAUUUUUUGAGAUGAAGUCUCGCUCUGUCGCCCAGGCUGGAGUGCAAUGGCAAGAUCUCGUCUCACUGCCACCUCAACCUCCCAGUUUCAAACGAUUCUCCUGCCUCAGCCUCCUGAGUAGCUGGGAUUACAGGUGCCUUCCACCAUGCCCGGCUAAUUUUUGUAUUUUUAGCAGAGACAGGGUUUCACCAUGUUGGCCAGGCUGGUCUCGAACUCCUGACCUCAGGUGAUCUACUCACCUUGGCCUCCCAAAGUGCUGGGAUUACAGGCAUGAACCACCGCUCCUGGCCUAUUUUGAUAAUUUUUAGGCUUUUCCUUCCUAAAUGAUGAGACUAGAGAGAAGUUAGCCUGACACUUGCAAGCGUUCUCUCCAAAUAACACAUUGCAGGUGUGAAUUCUGUUUGGCUUAAAAACCAAACUGAAUAUAAUUUUCCUUAUAUUUACUCCAUUUAACAUUGGCAUUUAGAUGAAGAGUCAUUCUGAGGCCAUACCUAACAUUUUUAUCAGAUGCAUGCAAAUAAUGGAACCAUCAGUCAUCAUGCAGAGGUAAACUUUCAGAAUUAGUGUCUUUUUGUUAACUUGGUCUUAUAACAUCAAAAUUCUUUAUGCUUGUCAUACUCAAAUUCACAUUAUGAAAACAAAUUAAAUGCUUAGAAUAAAAGCAAUUUUAACUGUUUAACUGCUAAAGCUACUUUUCCAUGCUACUGCUAUGCAGCUGGAUAACUAUUUCCAAACUGAAACACAAGUGCGCUUUUCUGAUCCCUAUCUGCUGUGCAUGGUCACAUGAUAUGCAAUUGGAGGCUUGCAAUGCAUUUUAUUUUGAAAGGGAGAAGCUAAAUACUUACUGAUAUUUUUAAAGGAAGAGUUAAAAACAACUACCAUUUCUGCCUUUACAAUGUGAUCCCCAAAAGCCUUUCUAAACAAACAGUAGCUGGCAAAUGCUGAAAAUGAAUAAACAGAAUCCCUGUCCUUAAACACGUCCCAGGCUGGCAGAGAGAAGGAUAAGUAAACAGGGUGGUGCAGGAACUGAUACGGACCAUCGAUGGGCACAAAGUAUUAUGGGAACACAGAGAGGAGGUACUAACCUGCUUUAGAAUGCCCAGGAUGAUUUACUAAGAGAACCGACAUGAAGGAUGGCAACUUCGAUCGGCCCAGAAGCCUUCCCUGGUACUUACCCAGGGUCUGAUGUAGAUGUCACUCGGUGGUCCCAGCAGCUUGUCACAGCUGACAGCACACUGCUUAUUGGUUUACUUGUUCAUCUUUCUCCACAAAACGGUAAGCUCCUCAAAAGCAAGGACUUUGUCAUUGCAUCUACAGUGCCUGCUGAUACAUAAGAACUAUCUGAUAAGUAAAUAUAAGCAGUCUAUGAUGAAAAUACUUCUCUAAGACAGGCUGAUGUUUGAAGACAGUAUUUUUAUGUCUAUACCACGAUAUGUUUAAAGAAUGUGUAUUCGUGUUUGAAAUGCCAAUGCCAAAUAUUAGGUGCAAGCACAGGGUCAGGAACCAUGGGAGACGCAGACAAACAAGACACAAUCACUGCUCUCCAGAAACUUACAGUGUAAACUGGAGGCUUCAUGGUCCCCACCUGGAUCUAAACUGGCACAUCUUUCAUGUGUUUAUAUUUUGGAGUCCCACAAAACACUUUUUGAAUAAAGGGCUCCAUUUUGUUAAAAAAAAAAAAAAUUGACAACUCUGAUCAAGUAAAUAAGAAAGCUGUUUUCUAGGUGUAGAGUUUCCCCUUUUUAAGAUUAGAAGGAAAUUUAGAUGCAAGGAAUUGAGAAUUUACAUUUUUAGAUGUGUUCCUAUUUCUUUGGAUUUCAUUUUAGUUCUCCCUCACCAGUUGCCUUUUAGCACCUAAUAGGCAAUCUGUAGCAAUGUACAGAUGUUAUACAAUAAUAGAAGUGCUCAUUCUUCCCUAUACACUGCAAUAUAUUUGCUACCAUCCAGAAAAAGGUUCUACAUAUAUCCUUUCUAAAGUUACUAUGAAGUAUCUUCAGGAUCUAUACUUCACGAUGGUUAUUCUAAGGUGUUUAAUCAAAACCACUACCUAAUUUCUCUAUAGCAUGUGGAAUUUAACAUCCCAUUUUCAAAAUAGAAUGGUUUAAAAUUAAUUGACUUAAGAUGCUGCAGACCCACAUACAGUGACUCUUCUAUGAGGUUUACAGGAAAAAUGAGCCAAAAGACAUAUAGGUACGGUAUUCUUUAUUAUAAACAAUCAGGUAACAGUGUAAGUGUGCAUUUGAUGGAUAACCGAAGCCAAGUUAUAAUAGAAAGCAUGACUUCACUCAAAUAGAAAGUUUCUUUGUUGUUGUUGACCUGUUUUACAUUAAUUUGAAUUUAACAUAUGCUAGGAUCACCUAAACUUGUCAUACAGUUCUGCUAUUAAAAUCCUAACAGGGAAAGACAAAAUGUGAAAUGCAUGUUAUAGUUUGUUUUAUUUGUUGAAUAUAUAUAUAUAUAUACACACACACUAAAUAUUUGGGACACAUUCAAAGUUAAGCAGGUGCUUAGAGUCUAUCAAGUGAUAUUUAUGAAAUGUUUUUGUUGCUGUUUUGUUGCUGUUAUGGGAACAUCCAUAUCCUCAGAAGACAAUAAAAAAGAGGAUGGUUGGCUAACUUUUCCUGAUUUAUACUGAGUGUAAAACAAAACAAAACAAAACAUAAGGUAUAUGUGUUAAGUAGUGACAUCUUUAUAGUUCCAAAACAGUGGCAACUAUUAAAAUAUCAUCCAGCUAAAACAAACUUUUCACAAUUUUUUAACAGAAAAAUAAUAAACCAACAACAAAAACUGGUAAAUGUUCUGGGUGUUGUUGAGCAGACCAAAAUGUUACUACAGUGUUCUCUGUUGUGUGAUCCUUGUCCGUGGCAACCUUAAAUAUGUGCCACAGUGCUCAUGUUUAGAGGCUUAGCUGUCUGCUUCAAUAGUUAUCCUGGAAAGAAUGCUAUUCGGUUUUUUCUUUUAUUGUCUACAUCAAGGAAUGAGUGCUAAAUGAGCACAUUUAGAAGCCUGAAAUCAAAUACUGCAUUCAUUUUUUGAAACUCUUGGUAGCAAAAGAAAAAGCUGAUUGAAAUAUGAUUAUGUUACAUGACUAAGGGGUUAACUUCUCAUCACUUCUAAAUUCUUCAAAUUUUACAAGCAUCUUAAUAGAGGCUUUUGAUGAGACAUGACUGGUGAUGAUCAUAUGUGCCAAUUUAGUAAUUUAUUUGUCACAGAAAAUUCAGGUUCACUGCAAAAUUGUGUUCUGGCUUCCCAAAGCUGCAGGGAAAUAACAAGUUUUUUGUUGCUUGAUUUUUGUUUAGAGGCAGGGUGUCACUUUGUCACCCAGGCUAGAAUGCAGUCAUGUGAUCAUAGUUCACUACAGCCUCAAACUCCUGGGCUCAGGUGAUCCUCCCACCUUGGCCUCCCACAGUGCUGGGACUACAGGAAUGAGCCACUGCAUCCAGAUUGUUUUUUGUUUUUAAUGUCAUUUAUGAGCCACCAGUUUAGAUUAAUUCUGUAAAGGUAUAAGAUUACCAGAGGAGGCCGGGCGCGGUGGCUCACGCCUGUAAUCCCAGCACUUUGGGAGGCUGAGGCAGGUGGAUCAUGAGGUCAAGAGAUAAAGACCAUUCUGGCUAACAUGGUGAAACCCCAUCUCCACUAAAAAUACAAAAAUUAACUAGGCGUGGAAGCCCACGCCUGUAGUCCCAGCUACUUGGGAGGCUGAGGCAGGAGAAUCGCUCGAACCCGGGAGGCAGAGGUUGCAGCGAGCCGAGAUCGCACCGCUGCACUCCGGCCUGGCGACAGAGCAAGACUCUGUCUCAAAAAAAAAAAAGAUUACCAGAGGAUAAGUUCGAUAGCUGGUAGAGAGAUCAUGAAAGCUAUGUUUGAUCUCUGGAGCAAAAGCUGUGUUGAAGUUCUCCCAUGGAAUGGUUCCCAUAUGAGACUCACCAUAUUAAUGCCUUUUCCAAGAGAAGGGGAGACAGAGAAUUAUUGGAAAAUAGGGAAGCAAGGAGAGGAACAAAACCCACUUUGAGACAUGGAAGAAAAGUAGCAUUUACACAAGGAACCAUUACCUGACUCUGCAGAAGAGCAAGGAAAUAAAAAUUUCAAAACAGAGAUAAGAAAUCAAUUACAUUCUUUCAAGCUAAAGACAGAUUGCAUUGUUUUGUUUUAAAAGUUCUGAAACAUGAUGAUGUCUGUACAAACAGAUUCACUAUUAGAUUCUUGGCUCCAUGAGGGCUGGGACUGUCUUCUAUUUACAUUUGAUUCUACAGUUCCUAACAUUGUACCUGACACCUAUAGGUAGGUACACAAUACAUAGUUGAUGAACCAAUCAACUACAGAUUUUUCUAAACACUACAUGAGCCACAUAUUACGUUUUUCAAUGUAAAGUGUAAUAAUUCUUUUCUAUUGUGUAUGUAUGAAAGUUUCUAUUAGAUAACACUAGUCAUUAUAAGAGGUGACAGUAGUAGCUCAAUCAUAUAACUUUCUCACAUGAUCAUUUCUACCUUGAAUACAAUUUAAUUAGAAAAACUACCAUGUGCACUAAUGCUAGAAAGAGUUGAGCUAAAAUGUAUACAUGAAGAAACUUCUUGGAUUACUGAAGUGCUGUCUGUUACAAGCAUAACUGCUAUCUUAAAUUGUAUAUUUUUAAAGAGGGUGUGAAAUAUUUUUCCAAGCAAUGUAGUGUUUAGUGCAUGGCAAGUAUGUGUAUGAAAGUACCUGGAAAUCUGGGGAUUUUCCUCCCUCAUCUAAAGUAAAAUAAGAACAUGUUUUUAAUAUUGUGUAUAUUUUUAAAAGAUGUAUUAUUAUUCAUUACCACUGUUCCCCAGAAAUUAUAGACGAUUAUGAAAUUAUUAUCACUUUACUUGGGAAUUUAUUUCCAGCUAUGAGACUUCAGAUAAUCACUGGAGACACUAGGUUAAAUAACUCAUUGAUCCAAUAAUGUGUCUAGAUCUUCUCAAAGUCUUUACUGUUGAUUCAGUAAUCUGCAAAGAGUUAAUAUUUGCCAAGAGGCAAGAAAACGUGGCAAAAGAGUGUCCUUCCCAGGAGACUGGAACGUGGGAAAUGAGAAAGUGUAAGUCGACGUGUGACACUUUUCUCCAACCUUUGCUUUCACCUGCUUCUUGACACCAGACUGAAACAAGUGCUAUUCUGGCACGCUGCGCAGACUCGAAGUUUGCAGGACGGCAUGACAUGAACAACCAGGACAACAGGAGCCUGGUCUCCUCUGUGGAAAGCAGGAGUCUCCCUGGGUGGCUCUUGGAGCAAGUUCUGGUCUUAUCUUGUAAUUUGGGAAACAGCAUUUCAUGCUAUCUUCGUAUUUAUUUUCCCAUAUUAGACUCUGUUUUUACAGCGGUAGACUGAGGGAACAUGACUUUCGGCUUCACAGUUUUUUUUUUUCUUUUCCGAUCACAGUUUGUUUAAAAUGUACCACUGAAUAUGAACACAGGAGCCCAGCUACAGGUAUGUCAACCUUAGAAAUAAAGUUUCUACAGAUUAUCUCAUUAA